CAAAAUCCAAAUCCAAAUCCCAAUCCCUCUAAUCUCACCCCUCCUUUAACUUUUUGAAAUUUUGCCUUUUUUCCUCAACAUUAUCGAAUCAAAAUCAAUAUUUAGCAAAAAAUACAAAAUGAAUAAAACCAAAGAAAAGUACGAAACGGAAUUUUUCACAAAUCUGUGGCUGAGCCGUCACCUCACCGCAACUCAAGUCGGCAAUUACAACUACGCGCUCCCCUCGUCAUCUCCAUUCUCCAUUUUCAAUAACAAAACCAACCCAC
rnacentral:lncRNA from 1 species